UGAGCAAUCUGCCCUUCACAUCGGAAUAACCAUUGGAAACGAUGGCUAAUACCGAAUAUGACCUCGGAUCGCAUGAUCUGAAGUGGAAAGCUCCGGCGGUGAAGGAUGAGCUCGCGGCCUAUCAGCUUGUUGGUGAGGUAAUAGCUCACCAAGGCGAUGACGGGUAGCCGGCCUGAGAGGGUGACCGGCCACACUGGGACUGAGACACGGCAGA
rnacentral:rRNA from 1 species